GACGAACGCUGGCGGCGCGCUUAACACAUGCAAGUCGAACGGAAAGGCCUGCUUUCCCUUGUGGAUUGCGGGUACUCGAGUGGCGAACGGGUGAGUAACACGUGAGUGAUCUGCCCCCAACUUGGGUAUAAGCCUGGGAAACUGGGUCUAAUUCCCGAUAGGACUGCAGGGUGGUGCCUGUGGUGGAAAACGAUUUUCUAGUGGUUGGGGAUGAGCUCGCGGCCUAUCAGCUUGUUGGUGGGGUAAUGGCCUACCAAGGCGGCGACGGGUAGCCGGCCUGAGAGGGUGGACGGCCACAUUGAGACUGAGAUACGGCCCAGACUCCUACGGGAGGCAGCAGUGGGGAAUAUUGCACAAUGGGCGGAAGCCUGAUGCAGCGACGCCGCGUGGGGGAUGACGGCCUUCGGGUUGUAAACUCCCUUCGACCGAGAGGAAGCCACCUGGUUGGAAGGGUGGUGACGGUAGUGGUAGAAGAAGCACCGGCUAACUACGUG
rnacentral:rRNA from 1 species